UGGGGAAUAUUGCACAAUGGGCGAAAGCCUGAUGCAGCAACGCCGCGUGAGCGAUGAAGGCCUUUGGGUCGUAAAGCUCUGUCCUUGGGGAAGAAAAAAAUGACGGUACCCUUGGAGGAAGCCCCGGCUAACUACGUGCCAGCAGCCGCGGUAAUACGUAGGGGGCAAGCGUUAUCCGGAAUUAUUGGGCGUAAAGAGUGCGUAGGUGGUUUUGUAAGCGCGGGGUGAAAGGCAAUAGCUCAACUAUUGUAAGCCCUGCGAACUGUAAGACUUGAGUGCAGGAGAGGAAAGCGGAAUUCCUAGUGUAGCGGUGAAAUGCGUAGAUAUUAGGAGGAACACCAGUGGCGAAGGCGGCUUUCUGGACUGUAACUGACACUGAGGCAUGAAAGCGUGGGGAGCAAACA
rnacentral:rRNA from 1 species